rnacentral:lncRNA from 1 species
CUCCAGCCCCAGAGCCCUGGGAAAAAGCAUCACCUGUGGAGAGGAAGCCUGACAAUAAACCACGUGGCUGUGAACCCAGGCCUCACUAUAUCUUUCUGGCUCAACAUCCCUUCAGAGGCUCUGAAAGUAGUCAGAAGGCAGAAGUGUUAAGAUUUCUCCGUGAUGUCAUUAAUAAGGCAACACUGACCUCAGAACCUAAUUCAUCUUGAGCAUCGUACAUAUCAAGCAGCACUUUCUCUUCUUUCUGAGGAGAGAGAAAAUGUAUUUUCUGCUGCAAAGAAAAUGGGAUGAAUUUGAGGCAGCCAAAACAGCCAAUGGUCACUCCCCCACUUUCAUAGAAGAUGCUAAUUUUAAGGUAACAGCAGGGGAUGGCAGGCAUGAACCUUGUCAGAAGGAAUGUGACCAGCAGACUGUGGGGAUCUCUGUGAGACCAGAAGUUGCAGGAGAAAAAGGAAAGUAGCCUGUAACGGAAGCCUUUGACGUCAUUGGGAAAAUGUGGUCCUAACUUAAAAGUGAGAUUACUUUGCUCUGUCAUUACUUUGCCGAAUCAAACCCUUUGAGAAGUUAAGCCAUGUUAUUCUUUUUAUUGCAACUUGUCUUUAGAUUGCUCUGUAAAUGACCAUAUUAAGAUGAACUGCAUUUUGAUAAUUCUGAAAGUAGCUUGCCAACAGCUUGGCAUUCAAGACCUUCCCUUCAGCAACAGAUCAAACAUUUACAAAGCACAUAUUGUGUGGCUAACAGCAUACCCGACCCUGUAAUAUAUAAAGAAAGAAAUACAAGACCUUGUUCAUUUUACUGAAGUUAGAUUUUUG